CAAUGCUGUUGCAGUAUGUGGGGUGUGCUGAAUGAGAGCCCACAGCAGCUGUUUCCCCGCGGGAUGGGUGACUGUAGCUCCAAAAACAGCUUGACAGCUGGAAGUCUUCAUCACCGAUUUGGUUAUUUUAUCCCAUCCUGGUGCAUGACAAGCUGAGAGAUGCUGCGCUCUAGCUGGGUGUCACAGCCAGACCCUCGGUGCCUACAGAACUCGGCUGGAAUGUCUUGGAUAGGACAUCAAACUUCCUGAAUAAUUGGCAACGUGUCCGUAAUUGGUUUCAGAUGCUCCCAGCUUGGAAUUCUCUAACCUUAUUAUGUCACGGAAUUCCGAAAGGCAACCGUUCUCCCGGAGGAAGGCUAGGUUCACGGAUUGACCUCUUGGCCUUUUGAACCCACCUUGAAAUCAGGACCUGGUUACCUGCACAAGUCAGCCUACUGUUGGUCACGGCCUGGGAUGCCUGGGUCCUCACUGUCAUGCUGGGUCUGUCCAGGAGGAAUGUUGUUGUAGCUGCUUUUUGGUUUGUUUAGCUCUUUUUCUUGGGAGUUUUCAGUAAGUCAGCUGAAUACUAAGGUGGAGACUGGCAUGGAGUGAUCCCUGGGCUUGCCCCUGCACACAGCAGGACACCACUACCAUGUCUAGUGUUAGACUAUUCAGUCCAGUUCAGUAGCAAACACAACACCUGAAUCAGCAGCUGCAGUCGGGUCCACUCAGUAGACAACACUCACGAAUCAGCAACUGCAGUUCAACCCAGAAGAAGCCGUGAAGCUCUCCGACCAGCCUGAGUCUAGCCAAAGUGGCAAGAAGCUGCAGGACCAUCACAGGAAGUUCUUCAUCGAGUUUCUCUCUAUGAAGUCACCACAAGCGAAGCUCAACAACACAAUAACCCGCUUUGUCCCAGGACGGCCUUGAACUUAGAAAUAUAUUUGGCUUUGU
rnacentral:lncRNA from 1 species